UUACCGAGUUUACAACUCCCAAACCCCUGUGAACAUACCUAUACGUUGCCUCGGCGGAUCAGCCCGCGCCCCGUAAAAAGGGACGGCCCGCCCGAGGACCCCUAAACUCUGUUUUUAGUGGAACUUCUGAGUAAAACAAACAAAUAAAUCAAAACUUUCAACAACGGAUCUCUUGGUUCUGGCAUCGAUGAAGAACGCAGCAAAAUGCGAUAAGUAAUGUGAAUUGCAGAAUUCAGUGAAUCAUCGAAUCUUUGAACGCACAUUGCGCCCGCCAGUAUUCUGGCGGGCAUGCCUGUUCGAGCGUCAUUUCAACCCUCAAGCUCAGCUUGGUGUUGGGACUCGCGGUAACCCGCGUUCCCCAAAUCGAUUGGCGGUCACGUCGAGCUUCCAUAGCGUAGUAAUCAUACACCUCGUUACUGGUAAUCGUCGCGGCCACGCCGUAAAACCCCAACUUCUGAAUGUUGACCUCGGAUCAGGUAGGAAUACCCGCUGAACUUAAGCAUA
rnacentral:rRNA from 1 species